rnacentral:rRNA from 1 species
CCCCUAGAUGUUCUGGGCCGCACGCGCGCUACACUGAACAGUUCAACAAGUCUUAACCUUGGCCGAUAGGUCUGGGUAAUCUUUGAACGCUGUUCGUGAUUGGGAUAGACCUUUGCAAUUAUGGGUCUUCAACGAGGAAUUCCUAGUAAACGCAAGUCAUCAGCUUGCAUUGAUUACGUCCCUGCCCUUUGUAAACACCGCCCGUCGCACCUACCGAUUGAAUGGUCCGGUGAAAUCUCGGGACGGCGGCUUGGUCGCUUGCGUCCGACUGCUGAAACUUGAUUAAACCAUAUCAUUUAGAGGAAGGUGAAGUCGUAACA